rnacentral:rRNA from 1 species
UACGUAGGGGGCAAGCGUUGUCCGGAUUUACUGGGCGUAAAGAGCGUGUAGGCGGCCACGCAGGUCCGUUGUGAAAACUGGAGGCUCAACCUUCAGACGUCGACGGAAACCGUGUGGCUAGAGUCCGGAAGAGGCGAGUGGAAUUCCUGGUGUAGCGGUGGAAUGCGCAGAUAUCAGGAGGAACACCGAUAGCGAAGGCAGCUCGCUGGGACGGUACUGACGCUAAGGCGCGAAAGCGUGGGGAGCGAACAGG